GAUGAACGCUGGCGGCGUGCCUAAUACAUGCAAGUCGAGCGAACAGAUGAGGAGCUUGCUCCUCUGACGUUAGCGGCGGACGGGUGAGUAACACGUGGAUAACCUACCUAUAAGACUGGGGUAACUUCGGGAAACCGGAGCUAAUACCGGAUAAUAUAUUGAACCGCAUGGUUCAAUAGUGAAAGACGGUUUUGCUGUCACUUAUAGAUGGAUCCGCGCCGCGUUAGCUAGUUGGUAAGGUAACGGCUUACCAAGGCAACGAUGCGUAGCCGACCUGAGAGGGGGAUCGGCCACACUGGAACUGAGACACGGUCCAGACUCCUACGGGAGGCAGCAGUAGGGAAUCUUCCGCAAUGGGCGAAAGCCUGACGGAGCAACGCCGCGUGAGUGAUGAAGGUCUUCGGAUCGUAAAACUCUGUUAUUAGGGAAGAACAAAUGUGUAAGUAACUAUGCACGUCUUGACGGUACCUAAUCAGAAAGCCACGGCUAACUACGUG
rnacentral:rRNA from 1 species